UACAGAGGUGGCAAGCGUUGUCCGGAUUUAUUGGGCGUAAAGAGCGUGUAGGCGGUCAGGUAGGUCCGUUGUGAAAACUCGAGGCUCAACCUCGAGACGCCGAUGGAAACCAUCUGACUAGAGUCCGGAAGAGGAGAGUGGAAUUCCUGGUGUAGCGGUGAAAUGCGCAGAUAUCAGGAAGAACACCCGUGGCUAAGGCGGCUCUCUAGUACGGUACUGACGCUGAGACGCGAAAGCGUGGGGAGCGAACAGG
rnacentral:rRNA from 1 species